rnacentral:rRNA from 1 species
UGGAUUAAGAGCUUGCUCUUAUGAAGUUAGCGGCGGACGGGUNNNUAACACGUGGGUAACCUGCCCAUAAGACUGGGAUAACUCCGGGAAACCGGGGCUAAUACCGGAUAACAUUUUGAACUGCAUGGUUCGAAAUUGAAAGGCGGCUUCGGCUGUCACUUAUGGAUGGACCCGCGUCGCAUUAGCUAGUUGGUGAGGUAACGGCUCACCAAGGCAACGAUGCGUAGCCGACCUGAGAGGGUGAUCGGCCACACUGGGACUGAGACACGGCCCAGACUCCUACGGGAGGCAGCAGUAGGGAAUCUUCCGCAAUGGACGAAAGUCUGACAGAGCAACGCCGCGUGAGUGAUGAAGGCUUUCGGGUCGUAAAACUCUGUUGUUAGGGAAGAACAAGUGCUAGUUGAAUAAGCUGGCACCUUGACGGUACCUAACCAGAAAGCCACGGCUAACUACGUGCCAGCAGCCGCGGUAAUACGUAGGUGGCAAGCGUUAUCCGGAAUUAUUGGGCGUAAAGCGCGCGCAGGUGGUUUCUUAAGUCUGAUGUGAAAGCCCACGGCUCAACCGUGGAGGGUCAUUGGAAACUGGGAGACUUGAGUGCAGAAGNNNNAAGUGGAAUUCCAUGUGNNNCGGU